rnacentral:tRNA from 1 species
UAAAAGAUAAGCUAACUAAGCUUUUGUGCUCAUAUCUCAAAUAUAAAUUAAACUUUUCUUUUAA